rnacentral:lncRNA from 1 species
UUUCAAAGACUAAGCUUAUGUUUGCAUUGAUCUCUAUUAUAUUUUCAUUUCUACCUCACCUAUUUCUGCUCAUCUCUGCUACGUGGCUCCUUGUGCUUGCUUUGACUUCUUACUUUCCAUACCUCUGCCAUGAAAUUUUAAAUCACAGACUUUCAGAGCUGGAAGGAAACAGACCCACUCUCCCGCCUCGUUUUACAAAAAAGCCCAGAGGGGAAGGGCAUGUGCCUGAAAUCCUGCAGCUGGUAAGAGAGCAUCCACAUUCUUGAUUCCGGCUUCUCCCCUUGCUCACCACUCUCCUCCACCCGUCACUCUCUCUCCUGCCCUGUUCCUCCUUCCCCUGACCCACAAGACAGCAAGAUUGUCGGACUGACACAAUUCAGAAGAAAGAGGCAAACAUCUCCCUCAAAAGAUGCAUAAGAACUUAGGAGGAGGGGGUCAAGAAUCCGACUGCAGCUGCUCAGGUGGCUGCAGAAGCCCAGGUUCAAUGCUGGCCCCGCGCAGUGGGUUAAGGAUCUGGUGUUGCUGCAGCUGGGGCUUGGAUACAAUCACUGGUCCAGGAACUUCUAUAUGCCGUGGGUGCAGCUAUUAAAAAAAAAUAAAUCAAAAGAUGUAUAAGAACUUAAAAAUUAGAGCACAUUUGUGCUGGAGGUUAAUGAUUUUCCUGUUUUUACCACAAUAUAGCAUGUUUAAUCCAAAGGGAUUAAACAAACAUGUUGUUGAGGGAGCAGAGGGAGAUGCCACAGGUAAUCAAAUACAGGACAAUUUUAUAAAACAAAACUCAGGCUGCCUUCUAGAAGGUUAUGGUUGGAUCUAUUAAAAAUUCUGAUAUUCAUGGCAGAUAUUUGGCAAGAAGCAAAAAUAGAUGGUAUCUUAAUGAACUGGGUAUCGGUGUCAGAAUGCAAAGGUCGCCUUAUAUUUUAGGUUAAAGAGAUGAGCACGCCCAGCCGUAAAAUGUACUGAAUUGUGUGUAAAAAGCACUGGCCCUGAGAGGGUGAAAGAGGAGCUGAGGUCUGACUUCUGGGCUCCCGUCCUGCCCUGUCUGGCCACCCCUGGGAUGUCAGGACUCUAGUGGCCUUGAGAUCCAGGGCUCUUCCUUUUCUAAAGACCGUGGCUAAGGAAGACUCUGAUGUUGGUCACAUCUAGUAAGCACACUUUGCUCAGGCGCCCUCUCCAGGGCAUUUCUACUCAAAGUUUUCCUUCAGCGGGAGCUCAAAGGCUUUCUUUCGUGUCUUAAGAAAUUUGAAGCAGAGUUGAUAAGGUCGGUAGGUAUGGGCAGGGGCUCCCCGGGUGCCCGGAAAUCAUUCCAUCCGCACUAAGACCUGAACAUUUCGGCACAAACUUACCAUGUCCUUCAAAAAAAAUCUAGUCCCUAAGAGUGUGUGCACAUGUGCGCGCGCGCGCGCACACACACACACACACACUGGUCCAGUGUCUGAGAUACUGAUGCAGUGUGAUGCCCUGAGAGAGGUCGAGAGAACAGUAUUUCCAAGAUGUAUCCAACCACAAGACAUUUUCUUCAAGUAGCAUCCACAGGUCUGGGUUAAAUAACGCCACCCCCCGAAGAAAAGAAAGACGCCUUUACCUGGAACCUCAGAAUGUGACUUAGCUUGGAAUGAAGGAAAUUAAGAAUCUUGAGAUGAGACGAUCCCGGAUCGCUUAGGGUGGCCCUAAAUCCCACAAUGGGCAUCCUUACAAGAGACAGAAAAGGAGAAGCCACUCGACAAUCCAGAAAACAAGGCCAUGUGAAGAUGCAGGCAGGGACUGGAGCGACACAGCCACAAGCCAAAGGAUGCCAGAGCCACUGGAAGCUGACAGGAAGGUUAUCCCCUCUGAGAGCCUUGGGCAGAGUGUGCCCCCGCCUGCCAACACCUCGACUGCAGGCUGCUAGCCUCCAGCACUGACGGAAAAUGAAUUUCUGUUGUUUGAAGCUACCAAGCGUGAGGUACUUGACUGCAGCAGCCUGGGAAACCACUACAAGGCUGAUGUUCCUCGGAAGACCAGUCAGGUCAUAAACUUCCUCCUCCACCAGCCCCAUCAAAGAGCUGACCUAAAGGCUUUCCUAGGGCUUUGCUGUUAGAACGCUCAUUAUUUAUGAAAAGACAAAAAAGAAGAAAAUGGUUUCUGAAGACGGGUUGGUGUGGACAUAAGAGGGUUUGGUAAGAGGUGCCCAAGAGAUGGGUGCAAACGCUUGGUGACAGGAAGCAGGAGUGUCUUCAAGUCACUCACAGGAGGGCUCUGAACAAGUGCAGAACCUGGGAGGGAGGGAGUCUCAUGAAUACACAAAUAACAGUGCAGUCCGAGGAAAUGCAAGCGGUAGGAGAAAGGAAUGCCAACAAAGGAGACGGAGCAGCCAGCCCCUAGCAACACAGGCAUUUUGUCUUUAGAAGGAUCUGAGAACUGGGGAGUCUGACUAUUCAGUGCUUCCACAUUAGUCAGAAAAUCUGGGCUCAAACUGGCUGUCUGUGAAAACCAGCCUCAAUUUUAAAACCAAGCAUGAAAACAAAACAAACAAAAAAACUACCCAAAAAAACAAUGGGUGAAAAAAGUUCUAAACCAGUCUAUACCACAUACCACCAUUUGCUAAAAAGCAAACUAAAUUAUACCCCCUAAAGUAUUAAAUUAUAUUCCCUAAAAAGCAAAUUAAAUUAUAUUAAGGAAGAAGAUACUAUGAGGUAAGCAUGCUUAAGCAAGAAACGUCUCAGUAAAAUUCGGAAGAGUGGUUACCUGAGCUAGAAGGGUUGGCAGGGGAUGCGUCCCCAGAGGAACAUCAUGGAAAUAUUCCAGCUCUUAGACUGAGAGGUGGGUUCAGAGGGUUCCGCUUAACCUGCCUGUUAACUCAUCCAUGUGACAGGUAUAAUAACACACGUUAGGUACAAUUUCACUAUGCCGCACUUGAUAUAUACAAAAGAAUAUAUAUUAACACAAAUCUUGACAUUUAACACAGAUAACCUCUCUUAAGGAAAAAAAAUCAAGCUGAAAGCCCCUUGGGGCCUGAGGAGAGCUGUGGUCCAAGGAUCACAGGCAGGAGCCUGGUGGCGGCACUGAGCCCGUGUCUUGCUUCACGUUACUCUUGCUGCCCCUACCAGGCCCAGCCUCGAGACUGUCUCGUGGCUCUCCUGGCUCUCCCGCGCUGGAAGGACCCGAGCCCCUCCCCUUCCGGCCCACAAACCCCUCCCCUUCCGGCCCACAAACCCCUCCCCUUCUGGCCCACAAACCCCUCCCCUUCCGGUUCCCUGGGCGUAGGCAGGGCCAGGGACCGUUCUGUGCAAGUUUUCCUACAGAGUGACACUGAGCAGGAACCACAGAACCACGGGCCAGGCGGCUCCUGAGUGCGGCCUGCCCCACUCCAUGCCCACUCCCUCCCCGGCUCACCCUCCUCCAACCACCUAUACUGCUCAGGGGUGUCCGACGGGUCCAUGCACCUGGGCCUUCCUGCCGUGGCCUCUGGCUGAAAUGCCCUCCCCACCCUUCUCUGCUUCGACACCUCUUAGUCAUGCUUCACCCCUCAACUCGGGCAGCCUUUUCCAGGAAGGUUUCGGGGACAUCACACUGGCCAAAGAACCUUCACCACGUGUCUCAUCACCAGCCCCCAAGUAAGCGUGACCUUGAAGGGGCAAAUCUUCUCGGUAUUUGUGCCCCUAGAGUUGGCCAAGUCCUGGCACAGGGCAAAUGCCCCAUCAAUCUUUGGUGAAUGGAGAUAAGCUAAAAAUAAUCAAGGUCCCAGAGGCCAGAUUUCCAUCCAAAGAUUUCAAGGAAAAAAGACUUUUCUGAGCCUCCAACUGCCUCAUCCUGAAUUACUUCAAUCCAGCUCCAAAGGGCUGGGAUUCCUUUGCAUACAUACCUUCCUCGGCUCCCAACCCCCACUCCCUUCCCUGUCUUAUGGCAAAGGGCCCCUUGCAGG